rnacentral:sRNA from 1 species
UCACACCUAAAGCUAAAAAAUAAUUCUUCUUUUAUUUUUUUUGGUAUAAUAUAGUUUGGUCUUUAUAUUUGCUUUUCCUUUUUAAUCUUUUUCUCAUGCAUUUUAUCUUCUUUUUUGUAUUUUAUCUAAUUAUAGUCGGCAUAUAUAGAUUAGAACAAAUCAUAAAUACCCAUACUCGAACAAAUCAUUGAAAAUUGAGCCGUACUCGAGAAAUUAUAUCAUAAAAAUUGAGCGGAUUAAAACAAAUCAUCAAAUUCAUAUAAUUCAGUAAUCAAACAAAUUGAGCCGUACUCGAGAAAUUAUAAAUACCCAAAUUUUAUGAAAAUUGUUGAAAAUGAAUCAAUCGAAAGACAAACAUUAAUUUCAACCCUUCUUAAGUUCAUUGUUGGAGAGCAC